rnacentral:ncRNA from 2 species
CUGAGCCGUAAGCGCUGAAAGGUGCACGUACGGUUCUUAGGGGGGGAUCAGCCAGUAAUGGCUGGUUCCCACCCGAC